UACGGAGGGUGCAAGCGUUAAUCGGAAUUACUGGGCGUAAAGCGUGCGCAGGCGGCUUGUUAAGUCUGCUGUGAAAUCCCCGAGCUCAACUUGGGAAUUGCAGUGGAUACUGGCAAGCUGGAGUACGGUAGAGGAAGGUGGAAUUCCCGGUGUAGCAGUGAAAUGCGUAGAGAUCGGGAGGAACACCAGUGGCGAAGGCGGCCUUCUGGACCAGUACUGACGCUCAUGCACGAAAGCGUGGGGAGCAAACAGG
rnacentral:rRNA from 1 species